UUGGCCCUGAAUCAAGGCCGGCAGCUUCUUAAUGCUGUUGGUUUCAAGCAGAAGUCUAAAGAGAUGUCAUUCUAUGGUCUGUGGACCAUUUCAGAACUUGGGCAGUGAAAUGGUCAAUUCAUUAGAAAGAAACGGCU
rfam:Cavia porcellus supercont2_21 genomic scaffold, whole genome shotgun sequence.